GGUGCAAGCGUUAAUCGGAAUUACUGGGCGUAAAGCGUGCGCAGGCGGUUAUAUAAGUCAGAUGUGNNAUCCCCGGGCUCAACCUGGGAACUGCNUUUGAGACUGUAUGGCUAGAGUGUGUCANAGGGGGGUAGAAUUCCACGUGUANCAGUGAAAUGCGUAGAUAUGUGGAGGAAUACCGAUGGCGAAGGCAGCCCCCUGNNAUAACACUGACGCUCAUGCACGAAAGCGUGGGGAGCAAACAGGAUUAGAUACCCUGGUAGUCCACGCCCUAAACGAUGUCUACUAGUUGUUGGGUCUUAAUUGACUUAGUAACGCAGCUAACGCGUGAAGUAGACCGCCUGGGGAGUACGGUCGCAAGAUUAAAACUCAAAGGAAUUGACGGGGACCCGCACAAGCGGUGGAUGAUGUGGAUUAAUUCGAUGCAACGCGAAAAACCUUACCUACCCUUGACAUGUACAGAAUGCCGAAGAGAUUUGGCGGUGCUCGCAAGAGAACUGUAACACAGGUGCUGCAUGGCUGUCGUCAGCUCGUGUCGUGAGAUGNUGGGUUAAGUCCCGCAACGAGCGCAACCCUUGUCNUUAGUUGCUACNAAAGGGCACUCUAAUGAGANUGCCGGUGACAAANCCGGNNGAAGGUGGGGAUGACGUCNAGUCCUCAUGNCCCU
rnacentral:rRNA from 1 species